rnacentral:rRNA from 1 species
UAGCGUAUAUUAAAGUUGUUGCGGUUAAAAAGCUCGUAGUUGGAUUUCGAUCGGGAACUGGUGGUCCAUCUUUUGGAUGUGCAUCUACAUAGGUCUUGGUCUCUUCUCAGUUCACGUUUCUGCGCUUGAUUGCGUGGUGCGGUGUCUGGGACUUUUACUUUGAGGAAAUUAGAGUGUUCACGGCAGGCAUACGCCUUGAAUAUAUUAGCAUGGAAUAAUACUAUAGGAUCUUGGUUCUAUUUUGUUGGUUUCUAGAGCUAAGAUAAUGAUUAAUAGGGACAAUUGGGGGCAUUCGUAUUGACGAGUC